GAUGAACGCUGGCGGCGUGCCUAAUACAUGCAAGUCGAGCGAACGGACGAGAAGCUUGCUUCUCUGAUGUUAGCGGCGGACGGGUGAGUAACACGUGGAUAACCUACCUAUAGGACUGGGAUAACUUCGGGAAACCGGAGCUAAUGCCGGAUAACAUUUGGAACCGCAUGGUUCUAAAGUAAAAGAUGGUUUUGCUAUCACUUAUAGAUGGACCCGCGCCGUAUUAGCUAGUUGGUGGGGUAACGGCCUACCAAGGCGACGAUGCGUAGCCGACCUGAGAGGGUGAUCGGCCACAUUGGGACUGAGACACGGCCCAG
rnacentral:rRNA from 1 species